rfam:Schizophyllum commune H4-8 unplaced genomic scaffold SCHCOscaffold_5, whole genome shotgun sequence.
GGGCGCUUGGCACAGGGGUAGCGCGCACGCUUCGCAUCAUACGAUUGCGUGAGGUCGUGGGUUCAAAUCCCACAGUGUCCA